rnacentral:rRNA from 1 species
AACGAAAGCUUAGCUUUAGUGGCAAACGGGUGAGUAACACGUAAGAAUCUGCCUUCAGGAGGGAAAUAACAUUUGGAAACGAUUGCUAAUGUCCCAUAUGCUGAAAAGUGAAAUAAUUUUUGCCUGAAGAUGAGCUUGCGCCUGAUUAGCUAGUUGGUAAGGUAAUGGCUUACCAAGGCUACGAUCAGUAGCUGGUUUGAGAGGAUGAUCAGCCACACUGGAACUGAGACACGGUCCAGACUUCUACGGAAGGCAGCAGUGGGGAAUUUUCCGCAAUGGGCGAAAGCCUGACGGAGCAAUACCGCGUGAGGGAUGAAUGCCUGUGGGUUGUAAACCUCUUUUAUCAGGGAAGAAUAUUGACGGUACCUGAUGAAUAAGCAUCGGCUAACUCCGUGCCAGCAGCCGCGGUAAUACGGGGGAUGCAAGCGUUAUCCGGAAUUAUUGGGCGUAAAGAGUCUGUAGGUUGUUUAAUAAGUCUGCUGUUAAAUAUUAGAGCUCAACUCUAAAAAAGCAGUAGAAACUAUUAAACUGGAGUAUGGUAGGGGCAAAGGGAAUUCCCAGUGUAGCGGUGAAAUGCGUAGAUAUUGGGAAGAACACCAGAAGCGAAGGCGCUUUGCUGGGCCAUAACUGACACUCAGAGACGAAAGCUAGGGGAGCAAAUGGGAUUAGAUACCCCAGUAGUCCUAGCUGUAAACGAUGGAUACUAGAUGUUGCGCGUAUCGAUCCGUGCAGUAUCGUAGCUAACGCGUUAAGUAUCCCGCCUGGGAAGUAUGCUCGCAAGAGUGAAACUCAAAGGAAUUGACGG